UACAGAGGGUGCGAGCGUUGUUCGGAAUUACUGGGCGUAAAGCGCGCGUAGGCGGUCAAUUAAGUCUUACCGUGAAAUGCCGGGGCUCAACCCCGCGCACGUCGGGGGAUACUGGUUGACUGGAGACAAGUAAAGGCGAGCGGAAUUCCGGGUGUAGCGGUGGAAUGCGUAGAGAUCCGGAAGAACACCAGAGGCGAAGGCGGCUCGCUGGGCUUGGUCUGACGCUGAGGCGCGAAAGCGUGGGGAGCGAACAGG
rnacentral:rRNA from 1 species